rnacentral:rRNA from 1 species
CAGUCGCCGCGGGAAUACGGAGGGUGCGAGCGUUAAUCGGAAUUACUGGGCGUAAAGCGUACGCAGGCGGUCUGUUAAGUCAGAUGUGAAAUCCCCGGGCUUAACCCGGGAACUGCAUUUGAAACUGGCAGGCUAGAGUCUUGUAGAGGGGGGUAGAAUUCCAGGUGUAGCGGUGAAAUGCGUAGAGAUCUGGAGGAAUACCGGUGGCGAAGGCGGCCCCCUGGACAAAGACUGACGCUCAGGUGCGAAAGCGUGGGGAGCAAACAGGAUUAGAUACCCCUGUAGUCCCUGUCUCUUAUAC